rnacentral:piRNA from 1 species
AGACUGCUGUUUCUCUGAGUGGC